rnacentral:lncRNA from 1 species
UCAUAGUUUGAUCUCUUUCUGCCUAGCUCUCAUGUCUGUCUCUGGAUUGUUUCAAAUCCUAAGAGAAAAGGAAUAUCAUUUAUUGCCUCUUGCAAAGUAAAUACUCCUCUAUUUAACUGACGGGAUGAACCAAUGAUGUCAUUUAACAGUUUGUUUGUUGGUGAUCUCUACUGCUGAAAUCUCAUUAACAUACACAUUUACUCCUUUGAUCUUCACGAUAAUCCCAUGGAAUUGGCAAGUAAAAGGCAUUAUUGACAUUUUACAGCUUUUUCAGGAGUUAAGCUGCCUUCGCAAUGAGGAUCAAACCUGCAGCUUACAGCUUAUAGACUCGAUACUGUGAACAAGAUGCCACCCCCAAAUGAUGUAGUCAAUGGUGCUACCAAAAUCUACUGCAAAUAACCUAAUAAUUGUACACAGACAUCUUGACAUAGGCCAGUUCUCAACAACAGUAAAAUUUUGAGCCUGGAGUAUGAGAGCUGUAGAAAGGACAGCAGAAAAGAAGCAUUGAAAAUAAAUAAAAACUGGUCAGGGGAAAUUUGACAGAACAGGUAUUGAAGUCUGUUUCUUGCAUUUAUAAAUUGAGUUCACUUUGGCAUAAGAUACCAGCAGACAUCUAAGAUGCAAGAGCUGGAGUGGAAGUUGAUACCUUCCUUAUACUCAAGAUCUCUUUAUUAAUGAUUUUGUCUUCCCAAAAUAAUUAUAAGAAAAAUGAACAAUCAGGGGCCAUUCUACCUAUUGUAAGCCAAAUACUUGGAUAUGUCAAAGAAUCCAACUGUUUAUCUCCAUCUUGUCCUACCGUGCAAGUGACCAAUACUUAGCUUUACUAUCUCCCCAGCUCAGCCUCACUUCAUAUCAAGAAGUGAGUUUUGAGCGCCUAGUUGUGCUGCAUAUGUAACAGG